AUUGUUGCAACCCCUAUUACUAUCCUGUUCAACCACUCUUUCGUAUCAUCUGAAAUCCCCAAAGACCCAAACUGUUACAAACCUAUAUCUAUCCUACCCUGCCUUUCUAAGGUCUUUGAAAGCCAAGUUAACAAACAGAUCACUGACCAUUUCGAAUCCCACCGUACCUUCUACGAUAUGCAAUCUGGUUACCAAGCUGGUUAUGCGUGCACCUCAGCCAUGCUCAAGGUCUUAAACGAUAUCAUAAUCGCCAUCGACAAAAGACAAUACUGUGCAGCCGUAUCCAUCGACCUGGCCAAGGCUUUCGACUCUGUCAAUCACAGAAUUCUUAUCGGCAGACUGUACAGCCUUGGUAUCUCAAAUGACUGUCUCGCCUGGUUCACCAACUACUUCUCAGAUAGAGUUCAGUGUGUCAAAUGGGAAGGCCUGUUAUCUGGACCUCUGGCAGUCUCUAUGGGGAUGCCACAGGGUUCAAUUCUCGGGCAGACUCUCUUCUCUGUAUACAUCAAUAAUGUAGCUUUUGCGGGUGGUGAUUCUCUGAUCCACCUCUAUGCAAACGACACCAUUCUGUAUACUUCUGGCCCUUCUUUGGACACUGUGUUCACUAACCUCCAAACGAGCUUCAAUGCCAUACAACUCUCCUUCCGUGGCCUCCAACUGCUCUUAAAUGCAAGUAAAACUAAAUGCAUGCUCUUCAACCGAUCGCUGCCCGCAUAUGCCCACCCGCAUAGCAUCACUACUCUGGACGGUUCUGACUUAGAAUAUGUGGACAACUACAAAUACCUAGGUGUCUGAUUAGACUGUAAACUCUCUUUCCAGACUCAUUAAGCAUCUCCAAUCCAAAAUUAAAUCUAGAAUCGGAUUCCUAUUUCGCAACAAGGAAUCCUUCACUUAUGCUGCCAAACAUAUCCUCGUAAAACUGACGAUCCUUGACUUUGGCGAUGUCAUUUACAAAAUAGCCUCCAACACUCUACUCAGCAAAUUGGAUGCAGUCUAUCACAGUGCCAUCCGUUUCAUCAACAAAGGCCCAUAUACUACCCACCACUGCGACCUGUAUGCUCUCGUUGGCUGGCCUUCACUUCAUAUUUGUCACCAAACCCUCUGGCUCCAGCUCAUCUAUAAAUCAAAUCAAAUGUAUUUAUAUAGCCCUUCGUACAUCAGUUGAUAUCUCAAAGUGCUGUACAGAAACCCAGCCUGAAACCCCAAACAGCAAGCAAUGCAGGUGUUGAAGCACAGUGGCUAGGAAAAACUCCCUAGAAAGGUCAAAACCUAAGAAGAAAGAAACCUACAGAGGAACCAGGCUAUGAGGGGUGGCCAGUCCUCUUCUGGCUGUGCCGGGUGGAGAUUAUAACAGAACAUGGACAAGAUGUUCAAAUGUUCAUAAAUGUCCAGCAUGGUCAAAUAAUAAUAAUCACAGUAGUUGUCGAGGGUGCAGCAAGUCAGCACCUCAGGAGUAAAUGUCAGUUGGCUUUUCAUAGCCGAUCAUUAAGAGUAUCUCUACCACUCCUGCUGUCUCUAGAGAGUUGAAAACAGUAGGUCUGGGACAGGUAGCACGUCCGGUGAACAGGUCAGGAUUCCAUAGCCGCAGGCAGAACAGUUGAAACUGGAGCAGCAGCACGGCCAGGUGGACUGGAGACAGCAAGGAGUCAUCAUGCCAGGUAGUCCUGAGGCAUGGUCCUAGGGCUCAGGUCCUCCGAGAGAAAGAGAGAAUUAGAGAGAGCAUACUUAAAUUCACACAGGACACUGGAUAAGACAGGAGAAGUACUCAAGAUAUAACAAACUGACCCUAGCCCCCUGACACAUAAACUACUGCAGCAUAAAUACUGGAGGCUGAGACCGGAGGGGUCAGGAGACCCUGUGGCCCCAUCCGACAGGUCCCCAUCCAAGAAGUCCUUUUCUCAGCUCACUGGUCACUAUAGCAUCAGCACCCACCCAAAACACGUGCUCCAGCAGGAGUAUAUUUCACUGGUCACCCCCAAAGCCAAUUCCUCCUUUUUUCCGCCUUUCCUUCCAGAUCUCUGCUGCUAAUGACUGGAACGACUGGAACAAAUCACUGAAGCUGGAGACUCAUAUCUCCCUCACUAUCUUUAAGCAUCAGCUGUCAGAGCAGCUUACAGAUCAUUGCACCUAGAAUACUUCAAAAUGAGAAGAUCCUGCCAUGGAAAAGAAGACUGGGUGGACAUAACGUGUAAAGGAGGGGAAAUAACUCCCACCAUGCAGCAAGACACCUUCAGCUGUGUGGUCUUUGUAAUGCAGAAUCUUCAAAAACACAUGGAGGAUCAACUGCGAAAAGAAAUGGCUGAGGAUAUACUAAACAUGUCUGAGUUCAACAAAGCCAACAACUGCUUCAUGUGUGACACUGAUAAAGAACCUGGAUGUGGCCCAAAGACUGGCUGGGAAUGAAGACAAAAGAGUUCAACAGAGUAAAGAACACAAACUGGAAGUGCAGUCUUUGUUGUUGAAAAUGUAUGCUAUACCCCAUCCACAUUGAAGUGGCUCUGACAUGUACAUCAACCAGGGAUAAAGAGAAAGUUGACAUGUUGGAAAAGAUUAAAGGUCUACAAUU